CACGCCACCAGAUCCUGCCGUUCACCUGUGAUCGCGCCAUCGGAUGGUAGGGGCCGGGACUCACACAGCAAGCGCUGCUCAGGGCCAGAGGGCAUACCGGCCCCGCACGGCUGGCGGCCGACGCGCUCUGCGGCGUGCUCCGACAGAACGCCCUGAGCAUCACGGGCCGGCCCGCCCUUUGGAGCGACGUCAUCUAUCGGCACGCCUGGGAAGCGGAGGUUCAGGACUGCACGGAAGAUGGCAGCUGCAUAUGCGGUCUGGUGCGGGUGGCCGACCUGGCCGGCCGGCUGAGCUUCAGUGAGCUGGCGCCGUCCUACUACAGCGAUGGAGAGAACGAGAGCGAGCUCGUUGUGCAGCCGCCCCAGCUCGACCCUGGCGAGAUAGCAGAGGAGACUCUGGUCGACUGUGCCCGUGUGAAGAUCGGUGGCUUGAAGACGGCAAUGGAGGCAUGCCACGCCAUCUUAGGAAUAGGCAUGUGCGUGGUUGAAAAGGAGUGAACGGCGCUGGGUAGUCUGCGGUGACGGCAAAUGCGCAAAUGCGGAGUUUGUAUGACCGAUCCGUUCAGACCAGGUGAUGUCUAGUCGUGAUAAGCGAUGAAAAUACAACUAAAUCGAUA